AUACGGAGGAUCCGAGCGUUAUCCGGAUUUAUUGGGUUUAAAGGGAGCGUAGGUGGAUUGUUAAGUCAGUUGUGAAAGUUUGCGGCUCAACCGUAAAAUUGCAGUUGAAACUGGCAGUCUUGAGUACAGUAGAGGUGGGCGGAAUUCGUGGUGUAGCGGUGAAAUGCUUAGAUAUCGCGAAGAACUCCGAUUGCGAAGGCAGCUCACUAGACUGUUACUGACACUGAUGCUCGAAAGUGUGGGUAUCAAACAGGAUUAGAUACCCUGGUAGUCCACACAGUAAACGAUGAAUACUCGCUGUUUGCGAUAUACAGUAAGCGGCCAAGCGAAAGCAUUAAGUAUUCCACCUGGGGAGUACGCCGGCAACGGUGAAACUCAAAUGAAUUGACGGGG
rnacentral:rRNA from 1 species